GACGAACGCUGGCGGCGCGCCUAACACAUGCAAGUCGAACGGAGUUUGGGAGAGCUUGCUUUUUCAAGCUUAGUGGCGAACGGGUGAGUAACGCGUGAGUAACCUGCCCUGGAGUGGGGGACAACAGUUGGAAACGACUGCUAAUACCGCAUAAGCCCACGGUGCCGCAUGGCACAGCGGGAAAAGGAUUUAUUCGCUUCAGGAUGGACUCGCGUCCAAUUAGCUAGUUGGUGAGGUAACGGCCCACCAAGGCGACGAUUGGUAGCCGGACUGAGAGGUUGAACGGCCACAUUGGGACUGAGACACGGCCAG
rnacentral:rRNA from 1 species